rnacentral:rRNA from 1 species
AGAGUUUGAUCCUGGCUCAGAUUGAACGCUGAGGAAAUAGCAGGCUACCUGCAGUCGAGCGGAUGAGAAGAGCUUGCUCUUCGAUUCAGCGGCGGACGGGUGAGUAAUACCUAGGAAUCUGCCUGGUAGUGGGGGACAACGUUUCGAAAGGAACGCUAAUACCGCAUACGCCCUACGGGGGAAAGCAGGGGACCUUCGGGCCUUGCGCUAUCAGAUGAGCCUAGGUCGGAUUAGCUAGUUGGUGAGGUAAUGGCUCACCAAGGCGACGAUCCGUAACUGGUCUGAGAGGAUGAUCAGUCACACUGGAACUGAGACACGGUCCAGACUCCUACGGGAGGCAGCAGUGGGGAAUAUUGGACAAUGGGCGAAAGCCUGAUCCAGCCAUGCCGCGUGUGUGAAGAAGGUCUUCGGAUUGUAAAGCACUUUAAGUUGGGAGGAAGGGUACUUACCUAAUACGUGAGUAUUUUGACGUUACCGACAGAAUAAGCACCGGCUAACUCUGUGCCAGCAGCCGCGGUAAUACAGAGGGUGCAAGCGUUAAUCGGAAUUACUGGGCGUAAAGCGCGCGUAGGUGGUUCGUUAAGUUGGAUGUGAAAUCCCCGGGCUCAACCUGGGAACUGCAUCCAAAACUGGCGAGCUAGAGUAGGGCAGAGGGUGGUGGAAUUUCCUGUGUAGCGGUGAAAUGCGUAGAUAUAGGAAGGAACACCAGUGGCGAAGGCGACCACCUGGGCUCAUACUGACACUGAGGUGCGAAAGCGUGGGGAGCAAACAGGAUUAGAUACCCUGGUAGUCCACGCCGUAAACGAUGUCAACUAGCCGUUGGAAUCCUUGAGAUUUUAGUGGCGCAGCUAACGCAUUAAGUUGACCGCCUGGGGAGUACGGCCGCAAGGUAAAACUCAAAUGAAUUGACGG